rnacentral:rRNA from 1 species
ACGGAAGGCAGCAGUGGGGAAUAUUGGGCAAUGGGCGAAAGCCUGACCCAGCGACGCCGCGUGAAGGAAGAAGGCUUUCGGGUUGUAAACUUCAGUCAACAGGGAAGAAGAAAGUGACGGUACCUGUGGAGGAAGCCACGGCUAACUACGUGCCAGCAGCCGCGGUAAUACGUAGGUGGCGAGCGUUAUCCGGAUUUACUGGGUGUAAAGGGUGUGUAGGCGGGAUCGCAAGUCAGAUGUGAAAAUUAUGGGCUUAACUCAUAACCUGCAUUUGAAACUGCGAUUCUUGAGUAUCGGAGAGGUAAACGGAAUUCCCAGUGUAGCGGUGAAAUGCGUAGAUAUUGGGAGGAACACCAGUGGCGAAGGCGGUUUACUGGACGACAACUGGCGCUGAGACACGAAAGCGUGGGGAGCAAACAGGAUUAGAUACCCUGGUA